AGAGGGAGGUCUUAGUGUGGUAAUAAGGCAAAGACCUUCCCACACUUUUGGUCUCAUCUGCGUAGGCACUACCUUCCUGGUCAGGCCGCUUCCUUGGCCUGUUGGGUUCUGGGUGGUUCUGCAGUUUUGCAUACGUGGCAUCUGCCUUAAUUUCUAUUACACAAGCACAGUGGUGGGUAUAGUCUAAUGGACUGUGGUGCAGAAAAAAAGAAGGUAGGUUAGUCUGUGUGGAAGAGUGGAUCUCUUCCUGCUGACUGCCUUAUGGCCUCUGGAAAUGUUCUCACUGCCUCUGCUGAAAAGGCUUCACCUCUGUCCUUACUUCUUUGCAUCACUUCGGAUGAGCCAAACUUGCAUUUUGGAUCCUUGACCUGGCUACAAGGACAUAAUAGACUCAGUAGAUUUGCUGCUGCUGCUAAGUUGCUUCAGUUGUGUCCGACUCUGUGCGACCCCAUAGACGGCAGCCCACCAGGCUCCCCCGUCCCUGGGAUUCUCCAGGCAAGAACACUGGAGGGGGUUGCCAUUUCCUUCUCCAA
ensembl:lncRNA